rnacentral:lncRNA from 1 species
GCAUGUCUCCAUACAUCAAUCAUAGAAGUCUUCAUUUCAAUACCUUGAAGAUCUCCAUGAAGUACUUGAACCUAUUUUCCUGCCUAUGAUUUUUCUUUUUAUGAGGAAGGAGUUUUUUACAUGACCUUUUUUUCUUUCCUCUCUUCCUCUUCUUCUUAAUUUUCUCCUUCCUUAACCUUUUCUUUUUCUUUUUCUUUUCUUUCUUCAUUUUCACACUUUUUUUUUUCUUUUUUUCUUUCCUUUCAACCACUGGUUUUCCUUUCUCAUCCUUCUUCUCACUCUUAUUCAACUUUUCUGUUUCUACCUCCUUUAUCUUGUCCACAGCAACAACUUUUUCUGUUUUUGUUUUCUCUUCAUACAUCUCUAGCUCUUCUUCUUCUAUCUUUUCCCCCUUGACAACCUUAUCAUUUGUAAAGGUAGUGGCUUGACAUUCUUCUUUAGGGUUAACUUCAGUAUUAACCCUAAUAAUACCCAGAGACUUCAACGCAUGAGUGUGUUGUUCCUACAAUAAACAUUCUUUGGCUUCCCC